GCCAGCGUAGUGUAGUGGUUUGAGUGUUGGACUAGGACUCUGGAGGCCAGGGUUUGAAUCCCAGCACAGGCA
rnacentral:tRNA from 1 species